GGGGGCGUGGGGUAGCUACUCCUAGCUACAGUGGUCUAUCCUUCCAGCCUCGGGAGCUGGAGACCUGGGUUCAAAUCCCAGCGCCCCCA
rnacentral:tRNA from 1 species